rnacentral:rRNA from 1 species
CCUACGGGAGGCAGCAGUGGGGAAUAUUGGGCAAUGGGCGCAAGCCUGACCCAGCAACGCCGCGUGAAGGAAGAAGGCUUUCGGGUUGUAAACUUCCUUUAAGAGGGAAGAGCAGAAGACGGUACCUCUUGAAUAAGCCACGGCUAACUACGUGCCAGCGGCCGCGGUAAUACGUAGGUGGCAAGCGUUGUCCGGAUUUACUGGGUGUAAAGGGCGUGCAGCCGGGAAGACAAGUCAGAGGUGAAAUCCCGGGGCUCAACCGCGGAACUGCAGUUGAAACUGUUUGUCUUGAGUACCGGAGAGGUGAUCGGAAUUCGUGGUGUAGCGGUGAAAUGCGUAGAUAUAAGGAAGAACACCAGUGGCGAAGGCGGAUGACUGGACGGCAACUGACGGUGAGGCGCGAAAGCGUGGGGAGCAAACAGGAUUAGAUACCCCUGUAGUC